AGCGAACGCUGGCGGCAGGCCUAACACAUGCAAGUCGAACGAACUCUUCGGAGUUAGUGGCGGACGGGUGAGUAACACGUGGGAACGUGCCUUUAGGUUCGGAAUAACUCAGGGAAACUUGUGCUAAUACCGAAUGUGCCCUUCGGGGGAAAGAUUUAUCGCCUUUAGAGCGGCCCGCGUCUGAUUAGCUAGUUGGUGAGGUAAAGGCUCACCAAGGCGACGAUCAGUAGCUGGUCUGAGAGGAUGAUCAGCCACAUUGGGACUGUGACACGGCCCAAACUCCUACGGGAGGCAGCAGUGGGGAAUCUUGCGCAAUGGGCGAAAGCCUGACGCAGCCAUGCCGCGUGAAUGAUGAAGGUCUUAGGAUUGUAAAAUUCUUUCACCGGGGACGAUAAUGACGGUACCGGAGAAGAAGCCCCGGCUAACUUCGUG
rnacentral:rRNA from 1 species